UGCGCGUCCCGCUGCUCUUUAAUAGGUGUCGUGGGAACCACUUCCCCGAUCCACCCAGCCAUCUGCCUCUCGUGGCUGAGUUUCCUAUUGUGCCGGCUCGUCGGUUUCAGAGCAGGGGACUCUUAGGCUGAAAAACCGUUCUGCUAGGGAAAGGAAAUUAAUCUGGAAUCAUUUUCACACAUCAGAUCGUGCAAAGGCAAACAAACUACUGCGAAAGCACAAUAUGAAGGGAGGGAAGGGAAUGCAAAACCUGAAAAUGCUGAAAAAGCUCGGUGCGAGCGAGGGCUACGCAUUGACCGGGCUGUUCUUCUGCAGCAGUUCUUGUGUAAGGCGUCUGAGGCAUUCCUGUGCCAACACAGCUGCACGUCCGCUGUGAGCGGGGCCCGCUGAAGGAUUUGGGGUUGGUUUGCAGCGAGCUUCAUGCGCACGGCUUUUGCUCUGCCUCGCUCGCUCAUCUCGCUUUUAGUGUCACACUGAAAUACUCCACAUGGCUUUGGUGCUCUAGGUUUGAAAAGCAUGUUAGAAAAGUGAAGAUCUACGGAUCUGGAGGUCUAUGUGGGUUCCUCAUAGAAGUUUUAAAUUCUGUUUUUCUAUAAAAGAUCUGAAGUUGGUGUGUUCGAGUUUCCAGUUGCCUUUCAGCACAACACAGAAUCCUAAAGGUUUAAUCUAGAAAAGGCAGGAAAAAGGGGAUCUAAACAAAAUAUUUUCAGAAGUGACAUUGAUUAACAGCUGACGUAAGUCAGGAUAUCGUGGAUUUUGUACAUCCAGAAGUCAUCUGAGCAAAUCUCUUUGCUUUUUAUGGAGGGUGUGCUUUGAAUCAGAGCAAGUUAUUGAGUUGUCUCAGAGUAAAUGUGUAACUGGGCAGUUGUUCGUGUCUUGAAAAGGUCACGGUGAAAUUAGACACAGGUGGAUGAAUCGAGUAACAGAAACUUCAGGAUAGCGAGGAUCUUUCAAAGUGAACAUCCUUUUGAAGAUACAAAGUUUUGUGUAUAUGCUAAAUUAAAAACUACCUACACUUUAAAAGAAAUUAGAAACCUUUUUUCUUUUUUGUUUUUCCUUCUUUUUUUUUUUUAAUUCACACUUGCAGUUUUGAGUAUCUGCCAUGUGAGUAUGUUUCUGGUAUGUCAGAGAACAAAGAAUAAAUCUGGUUUAGCUUGAUCAUGGAAUUCUUUCCUCACCUCCAAGAAUCGAUGUAUAUAUUUUAAAUAUAGUUAAAUGUUUGCUGCAAAUAGUCACUUGUAUUAAGUUCAGCAUUUCUUUCUGUAUAACCUCUGACCUUGAAAAGCUGGUUCUUAAUGUAUCUCCAGGAAGUUUUAUGGAUUUUUUUUCAUAUCCUUUAUCAUAAUCAAUGGAUCUUUUUUCCUGCUGGGAUAUUCAUAAAAUCUUAGUUAGUUAGUUAGAUUUGGGGGGAGGGGGAGAGAAACCAUGAAAAAAUGGAAUCUUUCUUAUACUUAAAUUCAGUAGUGAUUUGCUGUUUCAUCUAAGUCUGUCUUAGCCUUAAACAGAUUAAUGUAUCUUCUUACAGAAUUCAGAGUAGUGACGGAAUGAUGUAGUAAUCAAUUUUUAUUUCAUUUUUUUCCCUGCUUUUAAGAACUUGGAAAGAUGUUUGUGCUCUGCACUGUGAAAGCUGAAUCCAUAGAUUGUUUGAAGGAAAAUAUUUACAGACAACAAGUAAGGUAUAAAAGGAAGAAUGACGUGUCUGUUUUGAAGUGGAAAGGGAAUGCAAGUAAGCAAAAUGUAACAAAGUGAUUUGGAAUUUGGCUGGCAUCUUUGUUCCAAAUGCCAGUACUUAAAAGCCUUAAAUACUGGUUCUUUCUCAUUACGUUGAAUGAGGACAUUGGUCAAGCGUACUGUAUUGGAAAUCUUCUUGUUAGAAUAUUAAGCUUUCACAAUUGUUUUUUAAUCCACAGUUGUUAGCUAAUUGAGUAGAACUGAUGAUGUAAAUAGCCAAUAAAUAAAUAAAUAAAUAAAUAAAUUGAAGUGAUGUUGAUUUAUCUAAAUGAAGGAGAGAUGAAGGAGAGACCAUGGACUAAAGUGCCAACUAUCUCUUUUUAGUAAUGAUUACUUAUGGCAUCAUAGUACUAAUGCACAAAAACUAAUUUUCAAAAGAAAAGAUUUAUAUAGACCUUCUUUUCUAUGGCAAUGAAUACCUUUUCAUUAGUUGUCCAUUUCUUUGAUCUGCAGUCAGGUAAAUUUGUACUCAAUCUGAUUUCAAUAGAGGCUUUUAUUCCUUGGACGCAGGAGUAUCAAGCUAGCUACUGCAAUAUAGCUUUGUUUAAUCAUUUCUUUGUCUUACUUGUAAACAGUUUCUUUUUGACUACGUGUAAUCUGACUACAAUAUUUGAAUAAGAAUAAGCAUGUAGCCUUAAAAUUGUGAAAUUCUGCUAAUAAAUUUUAUUCAAUACAGAAUGAUUGAAUGCAGGUGCUAGUAAAAGAUGCAAAAAAAC